UAGAUGCGAGAGUAGAGCAUAUCAAUAAGCGGAGGAAAAGAAACUAACAAGGAUUCCCCUAGUAACGGCGAGUGAAGCGGGAAGAGCUCAAAUUUGAAAUCUUCAAGGGUUUCCCUUGACGAAUUGUAGUUUAAAGAAGUGUUUUCUGUUAGAGAGGUGGUAAAAGUUCUUUGGAAUAGGACAUCAUAGAGGGUGAGAAUCCCGUAUUUGAUCACUUUCUACUAACGUUGUGAUACACUUUCAAAGAGUCGGAUUGUUUGGGAAUGCAGUCCAAAAUGGGUGGUAAAUUUCAUCUAAAGCUAAAUAUUGGCGAGAGACCGAUAGCGAACAAGUACCGUGAGGGAAAGAUGAAAAGAACUUUGAAAAGAGAGUUAAACAGUACGUGAAAUUGUCAAAAGGGAAGCGUUUGACACCAGUGUUGUUUUUCCGAAAAUCAAUUACGAAUGUUUUGUUUUUGAGGAGUUAUGACUUCAUCGGCUUGCUCCCUUUCUUUAUGAAACUUUCUUAAUGCACUUUUCGGUUAACAAGUCAACAUCAAUUUCUUUUGUUGUAAAAGGGUAUGAGGAAGGUGGCUUUCUUUUCGGAGAAAGUGUUUAUAGCCUUGUGCCUCUGCAAUCGGAGAGAUUGAGGUCUGCAGCGUAGAUCCUUCGGGGUUAGAUACAUUUGUGCUAAGUUAUAGCUUUUCAUAGACAACUUGUUGACUAUGUUUAGUCUUGUAGCUUACUCGCUUACGCUAUUUUACCUACGCUUAGGAUGUUGACGAGACUGUCGAUCUC
rnacentral:rRNA from 1 species